CCUUUGAUUUUUUUUUCACCGGACCUCUCCCCUUACCCUCCGCGCGAACCCACCCUAUCCUCCGCACCAUCCCCGCGCGUGAUUGAUCAAUGUCAUCAAUCAAUCAAAAUUGGAAUCAAGCAGCUGCCACCUUCCAUUUGAUCGCUCCCCCUGUCCUCCUCCAAGCAGGAUCAUGAGGCGCUCUGGGAAAAUCCGCGUAGAAGUUCCACCCUUGAGAGGCCGGGCGGCCGGCCCCUGCUCGGCAGAGGCGGCGAUAUCCCCGACAGAGGCAGGCACAAUGGCCCGUGGCCGUUCCGGCGCCGCUCCAGUCUCCGCCCCAGCCCGCCAUGCCUCAAUCCGCGACGGCUUGCCUUCCCCAUCCCGCGGCCGUUCCGACGCCGCGCCAGUCUCCGCCCCGAACCCGCCAGCUGUUAGUUACUACGCUGUGCUGCUCCGCUGCGCACGGCCUUCGGGAGGUCUGACGUGCGCUGUUGCCACGCCCGACGUGAGUGGUUGGCCGGGAUCCCUGCGAAGCAUGCGCCCAGGAGGAAGAGCCGAAGAGGGGGACGGAGCUGGUGUGCAACGGAUCGCCACCGCAGCUCGAAAGGCACUGCCGCCAGGCCGCGCCGCUCCGUAGCGCACGACCUCCAAGUGGUCAGAGGACGAGCUCCAGGAGGGGGCGGGCGCGACCGACCGGCACCCCGCGACAACACCGUGGACACGCCGAUGUGCAGGCGCCUCGACGGGUUCGAGGCUGCCGAUGCCGAGGUAUUGGGCGGCGGCGCCUUCUCGCGGGGGUGCCGGCGGAAGGAAGCGCUGUGGUGAGCGGCUUCUUGCCUUUGCCGGGGAAGAAGUGGCCAGACAAGUUUCUGCUCGUCGCGAAUCGCUCGAGGAGUGCGCUGUGGAGUGCACCACCAGGACGGCGAGGGACAAGACGAGGUGCUAGCUUGGUGUGGGCCGGCAACCUGAUCGAUACCGAGAAGAUUGGUGGCGUGGUCGGCAGCAACACGCUGUACCUCCGGCUUGCAGGCUUGGAUCACUAACCAUUUCGUCUUCUGCAUUUAGAGUGGAUUAUUUGUGUGCUAUACAUGUAUGGAUACAACUUUAUACAUGUUUUUGCAUAGGUCUCAGAAGACAGAGCAAUGCAGUGAGGCCAUUGCUGCGCCUACAGUCUUGACGAGUGCCAUUCUGAUAAUCAUAGGAAUUAUCCUUGCCUGGUUUAAAUUCAAAGGUACAGACUAUAAAUUUGUACAUCGUCAGAGUGGAAUUGGUUACUGAAAUUUGGGUGCAGGUAAAAGAAGAAACAAUAAUAAAGGUAACACUAAGAUAAGUCCGGUCUCUACGAGUAAGUCUGACAAACUCCCUGAAGGAAGCCCUGCUGAAGACUUCGAACUUCCUUUCACCAAAUUCGAGGAUAUUGAGGCUGCAACACACAAUUCCUCAUAAGCGUAUAAGAUUGGACAAGGAGGCUUUGGUAAAGUUUAUAAGGCAAUUCUAGGUGGUCAGGAAGUUGCUAUCAAAAGGCUAACUAAGGAUUCAGAGCAAGGAACUGAGGAAUUCAGGAAUGAAGUUAUUCUAUUGCAACAUAAAAAUUUGAUUCAACUACAUGGUUGUGUCGAGGGAGGUGAAAAGAUCAUGAUAUAUGAGUAUUUGCCUAAUAGAAACUUAGAUGCUAUGCUUUUCGAUAGCUCAAGAAAAAUAUCGUUAGAUUGGCCAAAUCGAUUUAACAUAAUAAAGGGAGUUGCAAGUGGACUUCUUUACCUCCACCAAGAUUCAAGCUUGGCCAUAGUUCAUAGAGAUCUCAAAACUGCAAUGUUUUGCUAGACGUGGAGAUGAGACCUAAGAUAGCAGACUUUGACAUGGCAAGGAUCUUCGAUGGUAACCAGAAAAAUGCAAACACACGGCGUGUCGUCGUAACAUAGUGAGUAUAUGAUUGAAUUAAGUGCUCAAAUUAAUAUGGUUAAAUUCAACGUUUUUGCAAUAACUUUUGGAAGUGAAUUUCGAAAAUAGUGUGGACAUAGUUCCUGAAUACGCAAUGUAAGGAGUCUUCUCAAUGA